UAUUUUUGAAUAAUUUCUCCCAAGUCCUGUUUGGUUUUUGCUUUGCAAGUAGCCAGGUAACACAGCAGUGCACACUUAGCAGGCAGCAUGGGUGUGCAGGGAGCCAGCUCUAUUCUAAUAGCAGCAGGGCUGUGAGCCUUCCCUCCACACUCCAAUCACUUCAAAGCCUACGUGGGCCCAUGUACAUGCCAAUACUCAUUAGCACAGAGCUCUAUUAACCAAGCUGUCAGCCUGACUCAAAGCAUUUUCCAUUCAAUUUUUAUCUUCGUGUCCCCCUACAUGUCCACCAUUAAUUUUUCCCAGAUGAGCCCUGUCCAUCAUUAUCAAGAGCAGCACUUUCUGGAGUAGAUUAGAAGAACAUCAGUGAUUCCUUUGUCUUCCAUCGUUUCCAUUUUAUUUUAAUUAAAACGUGAUUUAUUUCAUUCUUCCUGCAGUAUACCAGUAUCACUGAAACAACGUACAUCCCAUCAGAUAAUGGAAAUGGGUCCCCCCCCAUUAUUAAUCUGUGUUAUUUGUUAAAUUCCAAUAGUUUUUCUUUAUUUAAUGGCUGCACAAAUUACCUCUCAGGGAAGGCUGCAGUUAUUAAAGCUUAUCUCUCUUGGGCCUAAUUUUCUCUUGGUUUCAUACUAACCAUUUAUACUCAUGCAAAGUGUACAUCAAAUGCUAGGAGGGGUAUAUAUUUGAGAUUCAGUAGUAUUUUACCCACAUCCAUGAAAGCCUACUGAGUCAAAUUUUAUGCCAGCACUACGAUACUUCUGGCUGAAGAUCUCUUGCUGUGUUCCCACACUUCCACGUGGACACCAGACCACAGGUCCUUGUCAAGUUGCAGCAGAGACUCAAAAUCCUUGUCAUAGAAUCACAGAAUCAUCUACAUUGAAAAAAACCUUCAAGAUCAUCAAGUCCAACCAUCGACCUACAGAGUUCCCUCACUAACCGCAUCCCUCAGUGCCACAUCCACACAUCUGUUAAAUACUGCAGGGAUGGGGACUCCACCCCCUAUCUCCCUGGGCAGCCUGCUCCAGUGCUUGACCAUCUUCCUCACAAAUAAACUCUGCCUGAUGCUGGGCGUAAACCUCCGCUGGCACAACUGGAGACCAAGCUGGUAAGACCUAGAGCAGCACUUCCAAAAGCACUUUAGCAACAUUUACACGUCAAUCUAAAGGCUGAGAUUUCUAAGGAGCAGAUAGUCAUUUAGUGGCAUUGUCCAGGGAGUUAGCAUUCCCCCCAGCUGGUGAGUUCCUAUGUGGAUCUCCUCGUGAUGCAGUCAAGUCUCCCUUCAGAGCUCCACUGGGGUAAGCUUUCCAGAAGGUGCUAAUUACAAGUAUGCCUUUCUUUGACACAGCUCUGCCCCUUCCAGUGCUGCUGCAGGCUGCCCCUUUGUUUCAUCCACUUAAAAAAGUAACCUAGGGAAAAAAACAAACUGCUGACUGCUCUGGGCUGGGCCAGUUUCUCAAUCACUCCCACAAAGAGCUCUGUUGGUGCCCCUGACAAGGUGGUAAAGGAGGAUUUGGGGACUGAAGGUUUGUGGUGAGAGUGGAUGGAGGAGGGCAGGCAGCUCUGCAGCUUUGCUGCCCAUUUCCUUGGUGGUUAUUACCGUGCAGAUCUGGAAAUAUAUUCCAGUUGGAGCAGAUUUACUGGGGGACUCGUGAGAGAAUGGCUGUUUUGCAGGCAGCGUGUAAGGGUGAAUUACCAUAUAAAAUGCAUGGGAACUGUGGAAUGAAAUAUCCAAAUGUAUGAGAGCCUCUGUUUAUCCUUACAAGCACGCUCUAGAUUAUUCCUUCAUGAGAGGCUGCAAGAAAGAGCCCAGAACAAAAGGGAAAAAAACCCAGAAUCGUUCAUAAUUCUUGUCAAUCAGCCAGCGAUGCAGUAUGUAAGAAAAAAAAACAACACAGAGAAUUUAUGAAGGCCAGCAGCACACGGCAGUCAUUUAUGCUUAGCACCGGCCUGCACCUAUUCCUAUAUGUAGAAGAAUAGCAAAUAAUUAACACAGAACUGGUUAGUUAUUACUUGGGCCUGGAGCCAAGCCAUGUUAUAGCUGAUUUACCGUAAGGGUUUAUCUGCGCCAGCGCCGCUCUCCACCCGGGCUGGUGCUGGCUCCAGCUGCACGAACAACUGCGGAAGCUCCAGUGGACCAGGCACAGGCAUUUUACUGCUGGGUGGCCUCGUCUCGCUGUGCACUCACAUGUGUGCAGCUCUGUAGAUGGAUGAGUGUUUUACAGCCUCUCCUUAGAAAUGGCUUUAAUAUGCACACCAACAGUCAGCAUAUAAAAAUCAUUUCCAUCGAGUGAUUUCGGUAUAUGAGGGAGACAGAUUACAAGGCUUGUUAUUAUGCUACUGUGAUGGGCUCUAAAAAGGAAACAUUUUUCCUGGCAUGUUGUAAAUAUCCCGUCAUGACACUGCAAUCACAAGAUGGGAAACCGUUGCAGCCACGCAUGAGAAAGUCAGCACCGCAGUGUUCUUUGCUGUGAAGCAUGUGAAAAUGGAGCUGGCCCCUGCCUAGCAAGGCUCCUUGCUCACUGAGCUGCUCCAGGACUACGCUCUCAGAAGGACCAAAAUCAGGUUUGAGUGAUGCUGGAAUGCAUGCCGGUGUCUCAGAGGACUCAGGGAUAGAGAUGACAUUUGGGAACGUAAACCGAAGUUUCUAGAAGUAAGCAAAGAGUUAAACAAUAAGCCAUAUCAGGUAGCCUGUUUAUUGCCACAUGGCUAUUUCCACUCCUGUUCUCCAUAAAGUUGUGCCAGCACUUUCAUUUUAAACACUGUUUUUCAUUAGUUUAUAUAACACAGCUGUAAAUGUUUCUUCAGGCUGAAACUUGGCAUCCGAAGUCACAAGGGAGAAACUAGGAAGAAAGAAACCACCCCUGGCUAAGCUGCUUCUGGGUGAUAUGAAAGUGAAAUUGCUGGGAGCUUUGCAGGGAACAGUCAGCUCCAGGAAGGCUUUGGGGUACCCUUACCAAUGCUUCCUACACCCAACCCCCCACCGCUCCUUCAGCCGUGUUACUGCCACUGCUGCGAUGCCAGACGGCGAGCGGGAUCAGUAAAACCGAUGCAGGUUUGAG